UUCUCACAAGUUCCUUUACCAUGCCUGCUGGCCUGAACCAAUUUCAUGAUUUGGCAGUAGAAGAAUUCUAUAACUGCAGUUGACUAAUUUCGGCUCCAUAGAAACCGACAUCCGCAGCCACCGCAGCACGACCGUGAGGCUACCUGAGAACCUGUUUGCUGAGGAUGACCGACUCAUCCGGUAUCUCACAAAGUGCCGCUUACGAGCCCCGCGAGAAACGUGGAGCCUCAUGCGAACAGUGAGCCACAGCUAGACCCAGCACGGAUGAAUCUCAUGGCCACGAUGUCGAUGGAAAGAAGGCAAGGCAGGCAUGAAAGCGCACACUCGGAGUGAGUCCACUGACGCAAAGUUCAAAACAGGCAAAACCAACUCAGAGUGUUCGGUGUCAGGAUGGCGGUUGUCCUUGAGGAAGGGAUGUGACUGGAAGGGGUACCAGGUGGUUCUCGGGGGGCUGGUCGGGCUCUGUGUCUUGAUCUGAAUGCUGGCUACAUGAGCGUGUUCAGCUGGGAGAAGUUCUUUAAACUGCGUACUUAAGACUGUGUACUUUAAACUGUG
rnacentral:sRNA from 1 species